rnacentral:rRNA from 1 species
AUGUUCCCCGUCUUUCUGUUGCUUCUUUUGCUUCUCCGGUCGGCAUCGGCAACAACAUUCAGCCACCGGACUGAUGUGGAUGCCUUGUUGGCAUUCAAGGCAAGCAUAAACAACCAGCGGGGUGGUGUUCUAGAUGCAUGGAACACAAGUAAUACUACCACUACAUUCUGCCACUGGCCUGGUGUGGUUUGCAGCCAGCACAGCAGGGUCACGGCGCUUAACCUCACUUCCCAGGGCCUUGGUGGCAUAAUCACGCCUUCCAUUGGGAACCUCACAUUCUUGAAAACUCUAGACCUCAGCCUCAACAAUUUGGAUGGUGAAAUACCUCCAUCAAUUGCUCGUCUCUCUCAUCUGCGAUAUCUUGACUUGUCCAACAACUCACUUCAUGGUAAUAUACACCCUGGCUUGAACAAUUGCACCAGUCCUGAAAACAUCAACCUUGGAGCAAACCACUUCACCGGAGAAAUUUCCCCUUGGCUUGGGCUUGGAGGAUUGUCCAGUCUCAAGGUUAUACGACUAUGGAACAACAACUUCACUGGAACCAUCCCGCCAUCACUUACCAACCUCUCAGCACUGCAAAAUAUCGAUUUCACCACAAACCAAUUACAAGGUGACAUCCCUGAGGGCCUUGGUAGGAUCACUAGUCUCAACAUGAUUCAACUGGGUCAAAACCGCCUCUCAGGCAUCAUCCCUGCAACUUUCUUUAACCUUUCCUCUCUAACCGGUUUCAAUGUGGCGGUCAAUGAGUUGCAUGAGAUUGGAAUGCUCUGCCCGGACACCCUCAGUCUAGAAGUGAAUCAGCUAACGGCAGCUACUGCUAAGGACUGGGAGUUCAUGACCUUGUUGACAAACUGCACACGUCUCGGUACACUUGACCUUUAUUUCAACAAUUUAGGUGGCGUGCUGCCAAGCUCUGUUGCCAACCUAUCAGCACAACUCCGAGAGCUAGAUGUUGGAUACAAUCAGAUUUCUGGAAAGAUACCAUUUGGCAUAAGCCAUCUUGUUGGGUUAAAUCAACUGGACCUCUCAAAUAAUCGUUUUACCGGUUCCUUGCCCGACGACAUCGGGAGGCUAAAUCUGCUCCAGGCUUUGUAUUUCGAAAACAAUCUAUUCACAGGUUACUUGCCAUCCUCCCUCGGGAACUUGACACGGCUAGUAAUUCUUCCUGCAACCGGCAACCAGUUUGAGGGGCCGCUUCCAACAAGCCUAGGUAGCCUCCAGGAGAUGACUAUAGCAGACUUUUCACACAAUAGGUUCACAGGUCCAUUGCCUAAGGAGAUCUUUAACCUGUCGUCUCUGUCAAAUUUGCUAGACUUGUCUGACAAUUACUUUUUUGGUCCUCUUCCACCACAAGUCGGCAGCCUGACAAACCUUGCAUACCUAUAUGUAUCGAGGAACAACUUAUCAGAACACACUCUCUGGUGUGAUUCCUCAAGAGUUAGGGCUAAUGGGUGGCACUGGAGAGUUGUAUCUCGGACACACAACCUUUCUGGCCAUAUCCCUGAAAGUUUGGAGAACAUGACAUCAUUAUACCGGUUAGACCUGUCAUUCAACCAUCUAGGUGGCAGAGUUCCAUCACGGGGCGUGUUCAGUAAUGCAUCUGGGUUUUUGUUUGGUGGUAAUUUGGGGCUUUGUGGUGGAAUAUUGGAGUUACAUUUGCCCCCAUGCCCGGCAGAACCCAUGGGACAUGGUUUGAGGAAACACCAUUUCAUCACUACAGUAGUUAUCCCAAUUAUUGCUGGCAUAGCUCUGUGUGUGAGUUUCGCACUUGUUUUCUUCACAAUGAGAAAGAGAUCGAAAGCUCGAUUGACAGCCGUACAAGGAUUUCAACUGAUGGAUGACCGUUAUCCAAGAGUUACUUAUGCUGAACUAGUCCAUGGAACAAGUGGCUUUGCUUCAGACAAUCUAUUGGGUGGAGGAAGGUAUGGAUCAGUGUACAAGUGCUGUUUGCUGCUAAGAAAUAUGAUGACCACAGUAGCUGUAAAGGUUUUUGAUCUUCAACAGGUUGGCUCUUCAAAAAUCUUUAUAGCUGAGUGUGAGGCACUUAGUAAGAUUCGCCAUCGUAAUCUGAUCAGCUUCAUAACUUGUUGUUCGAGCUCUGACACGAACCAAAACGACUUCAAAUCCAUUGUGUUCGAGUUCAUGCCUAAUGGGAGCCUAGACGGGUGGAUACACAUGGAUGUGCAUGCAUCACAUCAACUCCAAGGCAUGACAUUGAUGCAGAGAUUGAAUAUCGCAGUGGAUGUUGCUGAUGCGCUUGACUAUUUGCACAACAGCUGCGAACCACCAGUAAUUCACUGUGACUUGAAGCCGAGCAACAUUCUUCUCGACAAGGAUCUAGUUGCUCACGUCGGGGACUUGGGCCUCGCAAAGAUUCUUGCUGAACCAGCCGCGGAGCAACUGAUUAGUUCACAGAGCUCGGUUGGGAUACGAGGAACAAUUGGAUACGUCGCUCCAGAAUACGGCCAAGGUGGUCAAGUUUCUUCAUGCGGAGACGCAUACAGCUUUGGAAUUGUCAUCCUCGAGUUGUUUACAGGGAUGGCACCUACUCAUGACAUGUUCGGAGACGGGUUGACCUUGCAGAAGCAUGUAGAGGAUGCAAUUCCAGGGAUGCUAAUGCAGAUUGCUGAUCCAGUCCUGCUGUCCAUUGAAGAAGCUAACGCGAACACAGUGGAACAUGUCAGCAAUGCCAUAUUCUCCGUCAUGAAGGUUGCGCUAUCAUGCAGCAAGCAUAAUCCGACAGAGAGAAUGCGCAUCAGAGACGCGGCUGCUGCGAUUCACAGGAUAAGGGAUGCUCAUGCACAUUAA